rnacentral:rRNA from 1 species
GGGAGUGAGAGAGGUGAGGGUCUGAGGGUCAGGUGAGUGCUACGGUCUAGAACCGCUCAGUGGGUAAGGUGGGGGAGGCGAGAGCGGGGGUGUCGGCCGCUGGAGCAGAGCGUGGCGGCGGAGGAGAGUAGGGGAGGGGUCGAGGGGAGGUGAGUAGGCUGCCGCUGAUCUACGCUUUUGUUGGCCGCUGGUUGUAGUGUGUUUCCAGCGGUGGCGGCCGCCACCUUCCUGUCAGAAGAGGGCGGCGAUCGGCGUCGGAGGCGGAGCGGGACUAGGAGCCGGAGGAGCUGGCGGCGAGCGAGAGGAGCCUUCGUGGAGCGGUGGAGGGACGGGUACGGCACAAGCGGCUGACGGGACGAGCGCGGCUGGAGCGGUUAGAGCGCCGGCGCGAACCGUCACGAGCUGAACAGGAGCGGCGGCGGUCGCCGCUGCCCAGGAAGGGCACGGAGAUGGCGGAGCACCGACUCAGGAGGAGAGGGGUUUAGCUGUGGGCAGGUAAACAGCUCGGAAGGCACGGUCGCUGUACUCGUCCUACCACAUGUGGCUGAAGUGUCUGUACACCGGCAGCUCCGAAGUCUACUCCAGCUGCGCCUACUCUUGUCAGGUAUCUCGGCAUGGUCCGUCUUGUUCGACAAGGUGCGUACCCCAGACUAAUGUUAUAAAAGCCUCUACGUAUUAUACGGUUUGUGAAGAGUUCCACGGAGCAGGUACCCGCGUACUAUCACCUUUUUGUAGACAUUUAACACGUCCUAGGAUAUCUCGUUUACCCGUAGUAGCUGCACGUCAUGUGCGAGAGAAUCCUUCUAUUCAUUGGAGUCUGUUCAAUAAAACACUUCUAGCCACCAAGUACCAGACUUAAAAAACAAAAAGAGAGAUUUAAAACAUGAAUCUAUUAGGGAAUUUACGAAAAAUGACGAACUAGUGUAUUAUGUACAGGUACGUUCUUUCCUCAACAAUUGACUUUGUUAUUACAAUAAAAAACAACAAUUGACUUUGUUAUUACAAUUAAAUACAAUUGAUGUUUGACAGAACCUGUAACCAAAAAAGUUUAAUUGAGGCACAACUUGACCAAGAAGAACAACACACGACGUCGGGUCGUUAGACAAGUACGGUUUACUAACUCAGGACCACUCCAAGUAACGAUCUGUACGUGCCAGAGGCGUCCGUUCCUUGUGUAUUUGCAUUUAGUCGCACAAUAGUCUUUGAGUACUCGUACUUUCUCUUUAAACCUAGUACACGCUUGUACCCAUCUCUCGUCUAGCUCCUCUUGAACUUCUAAUUUCCGUUACUUUCCAAGGCAUUUUACCGUCGCCCAUCUCAAGAACAGGACGUGUUUCCUUCCAAUGAAGCCAUCUUACAGUCUUUUUAAUAUCGGCCCCAAUCCUAUGGAGAGCUCUUCGUCAUAUACGGAGCGAUCGUGUGUUCUUGUCAGUCCUGGUACAUGCUUAGCCUGCUUGUCAACCCCGAUACAGUGUGGUGGUUAGCUUGUGGCGCGGCCCUGGGCACAGAGCGAGCGUCGGCGCGGCCGUGGGCACCUAGCGACCUUCGGAGCGGCCGUGGGCACAGAGCGACCGUCGGCGCCGCCGUGGCCCCCGUUUCAAACUCCUUUGUACGGAUGGACUAGGCCGCCGUUUGAAACUUCUUUGUCAAGUUUAGGUGUACUAGGCCUGUGUUUGGACCUUCGCACCUCUUAGUCCGGAACUGACGGUGCGAGCUUUCUAUCCUAAACUUUUAAUAAACAACAUAUACCUUUCACGUUUUUAUAAUCUAAUUUGACAACAAAUACCUUCGAAGAGCACUGCCUUAAAAGGCUAUACUAAGGUAUACUAAACUAAACUAACCACAGCAUUUAACUUCCCUUCCUACCUUCCAAACAACAAAAUAUACCUUCCCCUACCUUGCAAACC